UUUAGAAAUCUCCAAUUCACUUUAUCAUACGGUUCCUCGAAGUCUAACUUUUAGAACUAAGCCUUUUCCUUUUAAUCUUCCUAGUUUAUUCAACUACCUCGUUAACUCAGUAAGUAGUGCUUUCGUCACCCUAUCAUACUCAACUUUAUUUUUAACUCAGAUAAUCAACUUAUUUGAAUUUCAAUAUGUUACUCUCUAAUGUCAAAUUGCCCAAUCCUAUCAUUUCC
rnacentral:lncRNA from 1 species